rnacentral:rRNA from 1 species
AACGAACGCUGGCGGAGUGCUUAAGACAUGCAAGUCGUACGAGAACGUCACCUUCGGGUGAUUAGUAAAGUGGCGCACGGGUGAGUAACGCGUGGGUAAUCUGCCUUCGAGUUUGGGACAACCCCGGGAAACUGGAGCUAAUACCAAAUAAGACCACAAGGUCCUCGGGCCAUGUGGGAAAAGGUGGCCUCUUCUUGAAAGCUACCACUCGGAGAUGAGCCCGCGUCGCAUUAGCUUGUUGGUGAGGUAACGGCUCACCAAGGCGACGAUGCGUAGCUGGUCUGAGAGGAUGAUCAGCCACACUGGAACUGAGACACGGUCCAGACUCCUACGGGAGGCAGCAGUCGGGAAUAUUGGACAAUGGGCGAAAGCCUGAUCCAGCAACUCCGCGUGAGGGAUGAAGGCCCUUGGGUCGUAAACCUCUGUCAGAAGGGAAGAAAUCUGUUGUGAGAAUAUUGCAGCAGAUUGACGGUACCUUCAAAGGAAGCACCGGCUAACUCCGUGCCAGCAGCCGCGGUAAUACGGAGGGUGCAAGCGUUGUUCGGAAUUAUUGGGCGUAAAGCGGGUGUAGGCGGCUUGGCAAGUCGGGUGUGAAAUCCCUGGGCCCAACCCAGGAACUGCAUUCGAAACUGCCUCGCUAGAGUCCCGGAGAGGAUGGCGGAAUUCCAGGUGUAGAGGUGAAAUUCGUAGAUAUCUGGAGGAACACCAGUGGCGAAGGCGGCCAUCUGGACGGUGACUGACGCUCAGACCCGAAAGCGUGGGGAGCGAACAGGAUUAGAUACCCUGGUAGUCCACGCUGUAAACGAUGGGCACUUGGUGUUGCGGGUAUCGACCCCUGCAGUGCCGAAGCU